rnacentral:rRNA from 1 species
ACGUAGGGGGCGAGCGUUGUCCGGAUUUAUUGGGCGUAAAGAGCGUGUAGGCGGCCUGACAGGUCUGCUGUGAAAACUCGAGGCUCAACCUCGAGAUGUCGGCGGAAACCGUCUGGCUAGAGUCCGGAAGAGGAGAGUGGAAUUCCACGUGUAGCGGUGAAAUGCGUAGAGGUGUGGAGGAACACCAGUGGCGAAGGCGACUUUCUGGUCUGUAACUGACGCUGAGGCGCGAAAGCGUGGGGAGCAAACAGGA